rnacentral:rRNA from 1 species
UCAGGAUGAACGCUGGCGGCGUGCCUAAUACAUGCAAGUCGAACGAGUUCUCGUUGAUGAUCGGUGCUUGCACCGAGAUUCAACAUGGAACGAGUGGCGGACGGGUGAGUAACACGUGGGUAACCUGCCCUUAAGUGGGGGAUAACAUUUGGAAACAGAUGCUAAUACCGCAUAGAUCCAAGAACCGCAUGGUUCUUGGCUGAAAGAUGGCGUAAGCUAUCGCUUUUGGAUGGACCCGCGGCGUAUUAGCUAGUUGGUGAGGUAAUGGCUCACCAAGGCGAUGAUACGUAGCCGAACUGAGAGGUUGAUCGGCCACAUUGGGACUGAGACACGGCCCAAACUCCUACGGGAGGCAGCAGUAGGGAAUCUUCCACAAUGGACGCAAGUCUGAUGGAGCAACGCCGCGUGAGUGAAGAAGGCUUUCGGGUCGUAAAACUCUGUUGUUGGAGAAGAAUGGUCGGCAGAGUAACUGUUGUCGGCGUGACGGUAUCCAACCAGAAAGCCACGGCUAACUACGUGCCAGCAGCCGCGGUAAUACGUAGGUGGCAAGCGUUAUCCGGAUUUAUUGGGCGUAAAUAAGCGAGCGCAGGCGGUUUUUUAAGUCUGAUGUGAAAGCCCUCGGCUUAACCGAGGAAGCGCAUCGGAAACUGGGAAACUUGAGUGCAGAAGAGGACAGUGGAACUCCAUGUGUAGCGGUGAAAUGCGUAGAUAUAUGGAAGAACACCAGUGGCGAAGGCGGCUGUCUGGUCUGUAACUGACGCUGAGGCUCGAAAGCAUGGGUAGCGAACAGGAUUAGAUACCCUGGUAGUCCAUGCCGUAAACGAUGAAUGCUAGGUGUUGGAGGGUUUCCGCCCUUCAGUGCCGCAGCUAACGCAUUAAGCAUUCCGCCUGGGGAGUACGACCGCAAGGUUGAAACUCAAAGGAAUUGACGGGGGCCCGCACAAGCGGUGGAGCAUGUGGUUUAAUUCGAAGCAACGCGAAGAACCUUACCAGGUCUUGACAUCUUUUGAUCACCUGAGAGAUCAGGUUUCCCCUUCGGGGGCAAAAUGACAGGUGGUGCAUGGUUGUCGUCAGCUCGUGUCGUGAGAUGUUGGGUUAAGUCCCGCAACGAGCGCAACCCUUAUGACUAGUUGCCAGCAUUUAGUUGGGCACUCUAGUAAGACUGCCGGUGACAAACCGGAGGAAGGUGGGGAUGACGUCAAAUCAUCAUGCCCCUUAUGACCUGGGCUACACACGUGCUACAAUGGAUGGUACAACGAGUUGCGAGACCGCGAGGUCAAGCUAAUCUCUUAAAGCCAUUCUCAGUUCGGACUGUAGGCUGCAACUCGCCUACACGAAGUCGGAAUCGCUAGUAAUCGCGGAUCAGCACGCCGCGGUGAAUACGUUCCCGGGCCUUGUACACACCGCCCGUCACACCAUGAGAGUUUGUAACACCCGAAGCCGGUGGCGUAACCCUUUUAGGGAGCGAGCCGUCUAAGGUGGGACAAAUGAUUAGGGUGAAGUCGUA